rnacentral:rRNA from 1 species
UUUGGCAGGGUCGCGUCUACAGAUAGAGUCGGAAGGAAUCUUCGGAUUGUGUGGCGGACGGGUGAGUAACGCGCUGAGAAUCUGCCUUUAGGUUCGGGACAACAGUUGGAAACGACUGCUAAUACCGAAUGUGUCGUAAGAUGAAAGAUUUAUUGCCUAGAGAUGAGCUCGCGUCUGAUUAGCUAGUUGGUGGGGUAAAAGCUUACCAAGGCGACGAUCAGUAGCUGGUCUGAGAGGAUGAUCAGCCACACUGGGACUGAGACACGGCCCAGACUCCUACGGGAGGCAGCAGUGGGGAAUUUUCCGCAAUGGGCGAAAGCCUGACGGAGCAACGCCGCGUGAGGGAGGAAGGCUCUUGGGUUGUAAACCUCUUUUCUCAAGGAAGAUAAUGACGGUACUUGAGGAAUCAGCAUCGGCUAACUCCGUGCCAGCAGCCGCGGUAAUACGGAGGAUGCAAGCGUUAUCCGGAAUAAUUGGGCGUAAAGCGUUCGUAGGUGGUUUUGUAAGUCUGCUGUUAAAGCGUGUAGCUCAACUACAUAUAGGCAGUGGAAACUACAAAACUUGAGUGCGUUCGGGGUAGAGGGAAUUCCUGGUGUAGCGGUGAAAUGCGUAGAGAUCAGGAAGAACACCGGUGGCGAAGGCGCUCUACUAGGCCGCAACUGACACUGAGGGACGAAAGCUAGGGGAGCGAAUGGGAUUAGAUACCCCAGUAGUCCUAGCUGUAAACGAUGGAUACUAGGCGUUGUCUGUAUCGACCCGGACAGUGCCGUAGCUAACGCGUUAAGUAUCCCGCCUGGGGAGUACGCACGCAAGUGUGAAACUCAAAGGAAUUUGACGGGGCCCGCACAA